AUACUUACCUGGCAAGGGAGAAUCUGUGAUCAAGAAGGCAGUUCACCCAGGGCGAGGCUCAGCCAUUGCACUCCGGCUGUGCUGACCCUGCGAAUUUCCCAAAUGUGGAAAUCUCGAUUGCAUAUUUAUGGUAGUUUAUUUUCUGCACAAC
rnacentral:snRNA from 1 species